GACGGAGGGUGCUAGCGUUGUUCGGAAUCACUGGGCGUAAAGGGCGCGUAGGCGGCCUUGCAAGUCGGUUGGUGAAAGCCCGGGGCUCAACCCCGGAGGUGCGGCCGAGACUGCAGGGCUGGAGGCCGGAAGAGGAGGGUGGAAUACCCAGUGUAGAGGUGAAAUUCGUAGAUAUUGGGUGGAACACCGGUGGCGAAAGCGGCUCUCUGGUCCGGACCUGACGCUGAGGCGCGAAGGCGUGGGGAGCAAACAGG
rnacentral:rRNA from 1 species